rnacentral:lncRNA from 1 species
UUCCCCAUGAAAAGUAGAAAAAGGUUUUGUGGCCAUUUCCUCUGAGCUACUGGAAGGACACAUAAGUCUUGGAAGAAAAAGUGACACAACACCAGGACCUUCAGAACCAAGAUUACCUGCAGUGAUUUGAUGAGACAUGCUACCAAGGCUGAGACAUAUGAACAUGGAGUAUCCUCCAGGGAAAUCCUAGGAAGAUCAUCUUCCUCCAAAUAGUGAAGAUAGGAGACAUGUCUCCUUGAUGAACAAGGUUCACCUCAAUAGUAUGAGAAUGUCUCCCAAAUGUCUAAUGAACUAGAUUAUAUACUCUAAUCCUUGACAGAAAAAAAAAAAGCUAUGGCACAUGAUAAUUAACCAGCUGUGGCAUCAGUGUUGUAGCCUUUGCUGUGGACAAUAAGACAUGAAACUGAGGCUGAGGUGUCUCUUCAGAAAGAACCUGCCCGUGUAAAAGUGGAAGCAUAAUAAUGAAGAGCUAUGUAAAUACUUUCCUAUGUAUUAGCUUCUGAAUUUUCCUGAAAAAUAAGCAAAGGAGUGUAUGAAAGAUAGGAUGACGUUAUUAGUUUCCCCAUCCAUACACAGCAAGUGUGUAAAUGAAAAUUGCAACUACCAUGGCAGGCUUCUAAAACUUACCAUUCUCUUGCACUCACAGAAUUUAGAAUUCUGGGCAAUAUAAGCAGUGUCAGUGAUAUAGUCUACUUGGUUCAUUAUUAGUGUGUGAUUAGAUAUUUGGGCAAAUAUUCUCUUGAACAGUCCUGUACUACUAUAAUUGAGUUGGAUACAACCUUUGAUGAAGCACUUCUAGUUGUUAAGUAUAAAACCUGUAAUUGUUAGCUUUAAAUAUCACAUUACCUCCACAAAGGAAUACCCAGAUUGUUGUUUUGCAUUCAGUACAGUGGCUGUACCUUAAGAAACUGCUGUUCCAAAUGGCAAUUGCAACUCAGCAACUACCAACAACAGCUGAGCCACAUGGGCUGCAUUUAGCCAGAGGAUCUUCGAUCAGUUCCCAGCAUGUACAUCAGGCAGGCUACAACCAUCUGUAA